UGCUACAAGAACAACAACAAAAACCAACAACAGACCAAGCAGGUUGCUCCCUAAAACAGAGAGGCACUAUUCACCCUUCAGCUGAUGGGUGCUGGUCAACGCUGGCUCUCCACAUGUGAGGUGUGAGUUACUGUCUUUCCUGCAAAGACAGUAGCACUCUAUACAGGAGCGCCUUGGUGGAUCAUCUUAGUGGCCAUUCUUGUUGGAAUGCUGAUGCUCACACUGUUGGUAUUUUCACUGUGGAAGCUGAGUUAUUUUACAAAUCACUCUUAUUUCAUAUGUUGAUCUGUACCUGAACAAUAUGGCAGAAAACUAGUUAAGCAACUCUGAGAAUGACUUUUCAAAAUGAUAUUGCUAGGGGACACUAUUUAAUCAUUGGUCAAAAUAAAUUUCUUUAUGUGCUACUAGUAACACC